GAAGCAAACAUUAUUAGAAAAAAGUAUUAGAUCGAUAAAGAUAAGAUGGAAAAUGAAACAAAUAACAGACCUAAUUUUUCCAAAUACGGAGAAAAUGGUAUGUGUGACCAGCAUGGAAGGCUUGGACGACACACGCGGUUCUGCAAAC